rnacentral:rRNA from 1 species
GCAAGUCGUACGGUAACAGCAAGAGCUUGCGCUUGGCUGACGAGUAGCGGACGGGUGAGUAACGCGUAGGAAUCGACCUAAUAGUGGGGGACAACCUGGUGAAAACCAGGCUAAUACCGCAUAAGCCCUACGGGGGAAAGCAGGGGAUCUUCGGACCUUGCGCUUUUAGAGGAGCCUGCGUCGGAUUAGCUUGUUGGUAGGGUAAUGGCCUACCAAGGCGACGAUCCGUAGCUGGUCUGAGAGGAUGAUC